AUUGAACGCUGGCGGCAUGCUUUACACAUGCAAGUCGAACGGCAGCGGGGACUUCGGUCCGCCGGCGAGUGGCGAACGGGUGAGUAAUGCAUCGGAACGUGCCUAUCAGUGGGGGAUAACGCUUCGAAAGGAGUGCUAAUACCGCAUAUUCUCUGAGGAGAAAAGCAGGGGACCUUAGGGCCUUGCGCUGAUAGAGCGGCCGAUGUCGGAUUAGCUAGUUGGUGAGGUAAAGGCUCACCAAGGCGACGAUCCGUAGCGGGUCUGAGAGGAUGAUCCGCCACACUGGGACUGAGGCACGGCCCAGACUCCUACGGGAGGCAGCAGUGGGGAAUUUUGGACAAUGGGCGAAAGCCUGAUCCAGCCAUGCCGCGUGAGUGAAGAAGGCCUUCGGGUUGUAAAGCUCUUUUGUCCGGGAGGAAAUCCUGGCCUCUAAUACAGGUCGGGGAUGACAGUACUGGAAGAAUAAGCACCGGCUAACUACGUGCCAGCCGCCGCAGUAAAAC
rnacentral:rRNA from 1 species